UGGGGAAUAUUGCGCAAUGGGGGAAACCCUGACGCAGCAACGCCGCGUGAAGGAUGAAGGUCUUCGGAUUGUAAACUUCUUUGAUGAGGGAAGAAUAAAUGACGGUACCUCAAAAACAAGCCACGGCUAACUACGUGCCAGCAGCCGCGGUAAUACGUAGGUGGCGAGCGUUGUCCGGAAUUACUGGGUGUAAAGGGCGUGUAGGCGGGAUUGCAAGUCAGAUGUGAAAUUCCGGGGCUUAACCUCGGCGCUGCAUCUGAAACUGCGAUUCUUGAGUGAUGGAGAGGAAAGUGGUAUUCCUAGUGUAGCGGUGAAAUGCGUAGAUAUUAGGAGGAACACCAGUGGCGAAGGCGACUUUCUGGACAUUAACUGACGCUGAGGCGCGAAAGCGUGGGGAGCAAACA
rnacentral:rRNA from 1 species